UCAGUGUUGGGUUAAUCAACUCUGAGUAUGUUCACUCUGGGUUGAGGGCGUGCCUGUUGACUAUAAAGAGCCAUCAUCAAUGGAUCUCUGAUAACAUGAUCAAACAUGGACCAAAAGCGUAGAUCCACUUACUUUCUCCCACGGAAUUGGAAAUUCUAAUGAACGCGUAUGCCGAGCAGUUACCCAGAGAGAGCUUGGCCUGAAAUAGCUGAACAAGUCAAUGCGUGAGUAAAAUAAAUUAGUAAAAUAAAAUAAAAUAAGAGGAAAGUUUAAUAUCUUCCACUUAUUCAAUAUGUAAAUUGUGUGUAUGUGUGUGUGUCAAUUUACGCAACCCCGAGUUGCCCCAAGAGGACUUGGCAGCAAAAGAAGAUGAAGUACAAAAAUAUAGUUCAAACAGCAAAUCGAAAAAAAGCAGAGGCCGGGAAGACUGGAGGGGAUCCACCUCUGCAGCCCUCACAGAGGCUGAGGAGAUGGCCCUCAGACAACAGAGUAUGCGUCCUGUGGUUGAGGGCAUCCCUGGGGGGAGCUCCUCUGAUCCCCCCCCACCCCCCAGGAUAGAAGUGCCUUUAUAAGAGUUACUGAUGGCGUCAUCGCCCUACUUGAACCAGAUGCCCUCACCAACCUCCAUGCAAUUGUAACAAUUCAAAGGAUGCUUUGGAGAUCCAAAUUUUGGAACAUAAGUUAAAGG